UCUGUGUAGGUUUACUAAGUGUCUUUUUUUCUAGUGUGGAUUUGUUUGUUAUUUUGGCCUGGAUCACUCCUGAUGUUAUAGUUCAGUGUCACACUGUCUCUUGUGCAAUACACUGGCUAUCAUUGAACAACUUUGGCCUGUUGUGAUCUGAUUUCAUUUCCACUAAACACUAGUUUAGCUGUUUUUCUCACACUUCCUGUUAUGGCCUGGAGCCUAGAUGAAGUUAAAACAGUUGGAUUGUCCUUUUGGUUGUCAAACUGCUUGUUUUCCAGACUCUGCUGUUUGAAUAACCCUUGGAUUGAAAAGCAGAAGCUGCCUGGACCCCCAGUCAAAAUUCUCAGAUUGUUUUCUGAGAAUUAACUUCUCAGUCCACAGGUUAGCAGUGAGCAAUGAAGCAGUCUAACCAGAGAAGACAAGUAACAUUAUCUCUGGGAAAAUAGCCACAAGGGAGCCCUUCAGGGAAACCUGGAAGAAUAAUAAGACAUGUUGUGAUGCAAGAAUCCAUCAGCACAUAUCAGGUGUUUAAAUAACCUUUGGGAAAACAGAUUACCUGCAUGCUUUUCAUCGCAGGGAAGAUAACGCUUCAUCCCAGGGAAGACAUUCUGAUGAAGUAUUGCAGCAUAUAUUAAUAAAUGGCUACUUAUGUAUA